CUCUCUAGUGACCGAUAGUGAACCAGUACCGUGAGGGAAAGGUGAAAAGCACCCCGGAAGGGGAGUGAAAUAGAACCUGAAACCGUGUGCUUACAAGUAGUCAGAGCCCGUUAAUGGGUGAUGGCGUGCCUUUUGUAGAAUGAACCGGCGAGUUACGAUUUGAUGCAAGGUUAAGCAGUAAAUGUGGAGCCGUAGCGAAAGCGAGUCUGAAUAGGGCGUUUAGUAUUUGGUCGUAGACCCGAAACCAGGUGAUCUACCCUUGGUCAGGUUGAAGUUCAGGUAACACUGAAUGGAGGACCGAACCGACUUACGUUGAAAAGUGAGCGGAUGAACUGAGGGUAGCGGAGAAAUUCCAAUCGAACCUGGAGAUAGCUGGUUCUCUCCGAAAUAGCUUUAGGGCUAGCCUCAAGUGAUGAUUAUUGGAGGUAGAGCACUGUUUGGACGAGGGGCCCCUCUCGGGUUACCGAAUUCAGACAAACUCCGAAUGCCAAUUAAUUUAACUUGGGAGUCAGAACAUGGGUGAUAAGGUCCGUGUUCGAAAGGGAAACAGCCCAGACCACCAGCUAAGGUCCCAAAAUAUAUGUUAAGUGGAAAAGGAUGUGGCGUUGCCCAGACAACUAGGAUGUUGGCUUAGAAGCAGCCAUCAUUUAAAGAGUGCGUAAUAGCUCACUAGUCGAGUGACACUGCGCCGAAAAUGUACCGGGGCUAAACAUAUUACCGAAGCUGUGGAUUGUCCUUUGGACAAUGGUAGGAGAGCGUUCUAAGGGCGUUGAAGCAUGAUCGUAAGGACAUGUGGAGCGCUUAGAAGUGAGAAUGCCGGUGUGAGUAGCGAAAGACGGGUGAGAAUCCCGUCCACCGAUUGACUAAGGUUUCCAGAGGAAGGCUCGUCCGCUCUGGGUUAGUCGGGUCCUAAGCUGAGGCCGACAGGCGUAGGCGAUGGAUAACAGGUUGAUAUUCCUGUACCACCUAUAAUCGUUUUAAUCGAUGGGGGGACGCAGUAGGAUAGGCGAAGCGUGCGAUUGGAUUGCACGUCUAAGCAGUAAGGCUGAGUAUUAGGCAAAUCCGGUACUCGUUAAGGCUGAGCUGUGAUGGGGAGAAGACAUUGUGUCUUCGAGUCGUUGAUUUCACACUGCCGAGAAAAGCCUCUAGAUAGAAAAUAGGUGCCCGUACCGCAAACCGACACAGGUAGUCAAGAUGAGAAUUCUAAGGUGAGCGAGCGAACUCUCGUUAAGGAACUCGGCAAAAUGACCCCGUAACUUCGGGAGAAGGGGUGCUCUUUAGGGUUAACGCCCAGAAGAGCCGCAGUGAAUAGGCCCAAGCGACUGUUUAUCAAAAACACAGGUCUCUGCUAAACCGUAAGGUGAUGUAUAGGGGCUGACGCCUGCCCGGUGCUGGAAGGUUAAGAGGAGUGGUUAGCUUCUGCGAAGCUACGAAUCGAAGCCCCAGUAAACGGCGGCCGUAACUAUAACGGUCCUAAGGUAGCGAAAUUCCUUGUCGGGUAAGUUCCGACCCGCACGAAAGGCGUAACGAUUUGGGCACUGUCUCAACGAGAGACUCGGUGAAAUCAUAGUACCUGUGAAGAUGCAGGUUACCCGCGACAGGACGGAAAGACCCCGUGGAGCUUUACUGUAGCCUGAUAUUGAAAUUCGGCACAGCUUGUACAGGAUAGGUAGGAGCCUUUGAAACGUGAGCGCUAGCUUACGUGGAGGCGCUGGUGGGAUACUACCCUAGCUG
rnacentral:rRNA from 1 species